UACAGAGGGGGCAAGCGUUGUUCGGAAUUACUGGGCGUAAAGGGCGCGUAGGCGGCCUGUUAAGUCGAACGUGAAAUCCCCGGGCUCAACCCGGGAACUGCGUCCGAUACUGGCAGGCUUGAAUCCGGGAGAGGGAUGUGGAAUUCCAGGUGUAGCGGUGAAAUUCGUAGAUAUUGGGAAGAACACCGAUGGCGAAGGCAGCCAUCUGGACCGACACUGACGCUGAGGCGCGAAAGCUAGGGGAGCGAACGGG
rnacentral:rRNA from 1 species